rnacentral:misc_RNA from 1 species
GGUUCUGCCAUAGUGUUGCUUCUGCAAGGAAUAUGUUGUUGUACUUGGUGUUCAUGCAGGUUGAAUUCUCAGCAAAUAUCGACUGGCUUAUUUAAGGUACUUCCACGUAGCCAGGAAUGUAUACAUAUCGCACGUAGAUAUAAAGUUUUUCAGAUACACUUGAGAAGGUACAUGGUCUAAUAGGAAGAGGAUUUCCAAGUGAUUUUUGGCAGGAAAUGGCAAUUUUUCAGCCAUUAAGAUUUUUUCAGAUCUUACAUGAAAAUGCUAAUUACUGUUCCAAAAGGCUGGACAUGUGUAAAUGGCUUUGUACAACCUCCUUGAAGAGAUUCAGAGAGAGAAAACGGAACGGAUUCGAAAGGCAGAAGAAAAUUUCCACUUUGGAAGCAAGAUAAACAUGUUCAAAACAUCAUCAGCGAAGUGAAAUCACCAAAAUUUGCGUGGUCUGAGAACGUAAACCUUGACGAAAAAUUGCGGAACUCAACGCACCUCCCAUACGUUGCGCUGAAGUUGAGGUGUGGCGCCGCAAGGGGUAACGUCAAGAUUACCGCGUAAGGUUACAAGUGAAAAACGCAAGGCCAAGAGUGAACUGAGAAUAUUUUGGCAAGUGUAACUGAUGUGUUAUUGUCAAACCUCAUGAACCUGUGUAAUUCUGUAGAAGUUUACCCGUUGGAUAUUUGAAUCUUCAGAUAUUUUUAGUGUCGAUUAGCGCUGAUGCAUCGGGUAACUCGUGUUUCACGGGUGAUUAAUUAUAUUUCCCAUUUUUAGUUCACUUCAGAAUGCUAGAGAUAGUAACAAAGAGACAAAAAGGCUUAAGAAGUUAUCAGCGUGGAACUGGAUAAAUUUGAAGAAUAUUUUAUUUCUUCACUCUCGUGCAAGACUUGACGUCUUAUUUAAUAUACCUUAUGAUACUGUCACCAAGCCUCUGAAACUUGCACUGACUUUGAUACUUUAUUUAUUUAGUAGUAUCUUAAUAUUUGAAAAUAAAGGAAAAUAUUACAGCU